rnacentral:lncRNA from 10 species
UCUUCUUGAAGUAGAUGAGAUUCACUUCCUUCCUUUAAAUAUGAGGAAGCCAAGGCAAGGAGAAGAAAAGUGAAUUAACUAAGGAGAGAAAGCUAAGAGCAAAGGGGACACCAUUAGGAUGAAAGAGCAGAAGUAUGGAAAUGGGAAUGGGGAACUGUAUCCACCCAUAGAAUUGUCAACAGAAAUGUUAAUGUGUUCAAUGACGAUCAAGCCCCAGGCUCUACUGAGCAUUCUACAUAAUGUACAGUAUAUUGCAUUUAAAAUUUUGCAAACUCCUGAAUUACAAAAUACAUUUGGCUCCAUGUUUGAGGAUAGGCAAUUCUAGAUCUACAAAAGAAAAAAUGGACAAGGCAAAUCAGAAAGCAAGCAUUAUUCACGAAAGCCAAGAUAUGGAAAUAACCUAAGUGUCCAUCAACGGAUAAAUAAAGAAAAUGUGCCACACGUAU